CCCGGCGUUCCCCGGCGGCGGCGGCGGGGACGGGGGGCAGCCCGGGACCCGGGCCGGGCCGGGGACCACCCUGCGGGCAGGGGGCAGCGGGGGCGGCGGCGGGGCGGGCGCAGCCGAGCCCCCGAGCGCACAUGGGCGCCCCAGAUGUGGCCGCGGCGCCGCAGCUGGAGCAGGAGCGGCCGCCAGAGGAGCGCGGGGAGGAGGAGGAGGAGGAGAAGGAGGAGGAGGAGAAUGAGGAGGAGGGCUUCAGUGGCGGCCCGGAGUUACCUCCACGCUUGGCUCCCCCGCCCUUGCCGCCCAGAGCCACUCACCCGACGAGCCACCUCCCCUCCUCCCCGCGCUUCUUCGGGCUGCGGGCCGCGCCGCCCCGCCGCCAAGUCCUAGGGUGCUGUUGAUGAAGGAAUCAUAGCAAAGUGGGGGCAGAUGGAUUCCACUAACCAGCCGCGUAACCCCUUGGGCAAGGUAUUGUACCUCUCGGAGUGUCAGUUUCCCUUAUCUGCAAAUUGGAGCUGAGAAUCGCUGCUCUAGGACUGCGGUGAAGUUCAACUAUCGCUUCCACAGCAGGGCGAGGUGAGUAGUCCCAGGUCUUUCUCUCCCCUAGAUGAAGGACACCGCACUGUGUCCAUGAGGGCAGAGAGCUUCUCCGUGUCACUCACUUCCCAAUUUACAUAGUAGAUGCCCCAUAAAUACCGUUCAAUUGAUGCAACUUUCAGAAAACUGCUGAAAAACUGUAGCUGAAGGGAUCUGAGAUACACUCUAAGACCUCAAGGAAACACAAACAAACAAAAAGCCCAAAGUGUUGCUCCAUUAGAGUCCUUUGAACUAUGAAGGGGUCACAGUGCUCAAAAGUGAGAAAAUCACCACCCUCAGAGGCACUCCCAGGGGCUCCCCCCUUGAAGCAACAGCGAGGCCUAAGGGACACCUGGACCUCUGGUGACAUUCUGCUCCCUGAUGCCCCAACACCCACACAUGCAAAACGUGUGAAGACUGAGGGGGUUCUUGUGGCGCUCUCCACUUCACCCGAAGCGCCCCCAAACGUACAAAGAACCUGAGAACACUGAGUGCAUGACCUUUUGCGGAGGCCCAGAAACUGCAUUCCCGAGUGAGGGCUGUCCUUCCCAGGCAUGAGCUGGAGCGGUGGGGAGAUUGGAUUGGUUUUUUGACAAGGCUUGUGAUGGUUCUUCCUUAUGGGGCAGGGUCCUUUACUGCGUUUCUAGUGUGAUAUUAAAAUACGAAGUCCUGCCUGUCCACUGACAUCUUCUGUGAAACAAUGAGCCCGGGUAGCUCUCAUCUGUAUUUUUAAAAGACCCGUUUAUUGUCUUUGCUUUGCUAUAAUUAUUUCUGUGCAAAUUCUGGGAAGCAAAAUAAAAUCUCAGGGACAUGUGAUAGCUGAAAGAGAAAGUGCUUCAUAAUUAUAAUGUUAUAUAUUAUACAUGAUAUGAGGUUGGUUUUUUUUUUUAACUUCUGACAAUUUCUAGGCACGAAGUGAGUGAACUAUUCACUCAGAGUUGAGUCUCAGAGUCUGAAUAUUGGAAGCGGAGCUUAGAAUUCACUAUCCAGCUUCCUUUUUUAGACGAGGAGACUGAGGUCCAGAGAAUUAAAUAGACAUUUUCAAUAUUGCAAAGGGACUUAGGGGCAGAAUUAGGUUUCCCAGCUCUAAGACCAAUGCUCUGUUUUUCAGAGGAAAGUUUUAAAAAUGAGAGUAUGACAUACACAUAGAAGAAAGUACAUAUCCUAUGUGUAUGGCUCAGUGGAAUUUUUACUCCCCAGAACAAGAAACAGGUACCCAAAUGUUACCAUUGUUCUGACUUCCAUCACCACACAUUUGAAUUGCUUUUAAAGCAUUAAUACAAAUUGAAUUUUACAGUAUAUUUUCUUCAGGAUCUGGCUUCUUGUGAGAUCUUCUAUCCCUCUCCUCAACUUUUUAUUUUGAAAAAUUUCAAAUGCCCAGAAUAGUUACAUGUAUAAUUGAAUGAACACCCGGACAUCCAUGUGGUAGACUGCACAAAUGAUCCCAGUUUUUCCUUCAUGUACCCGGACCCUUCACAGUGUGACUUUGUGGCUUUUCUCACUGCAAUGUGGAGGCAUCUCCCCUUGACUGUGCUGGCCUUGGGAUUGGCUUAGACUAACAAAUGCAGCACCCCCUGGGUUGGGGGGAGGUUGUGCUGGCUCUAUGGUUGGACCUCAAACAGCCUCACGUGCUUCCUCUCCCUUUGUGUCUGUCUUGGAGCAUUGUCACUGCCAUGUGAAAAAGCCAGAAUUAGCCUGCUGCAGGAAAAGAGACAGGGUCCUAGUCACCCCAGCCAAAACCCAGCCAAUCCCCAGAAGCAGAGCCACUUAACUGACAUGUCCUUGAUCACACACACACACACACACACACAUAAGGGGACCACAGAGAUGACAGGAAGUGCGCAGUUGAGCCCAACUUAAAUAGAAUAAUGAGCUAAAAAAUAGUUGCUGUUGUAUGAGGGGUUUAUCAUACAGAAAAAGCUGUUCAAUAUAACCCUUCGCCCCCAAAUUGUCAGCAUAUAUCUCCUUAGAAGAGAUUUUGCUACAUCGUCACAGCAUAAUUUUGCUCAGGACAUUUACCACUGAUACAACCAUCUUAUCUAAUUUACAAUCCUUAUUCAACAUUUCCUUACUGUCCCCGCAAUAUCACUUACAGUUUUUUGUUUUUUUUUAUCCAGGACUCAGAUGAGAAUUGCUCACUGGAUUUCAUUGCCAUUGUCAUGUCUCUUUACGUCUGCCUUGAACAGUCCCCAGCCCCCUUUUCUUUUGGUCUUUCGUGUCGUUAACACGGUUAAAGACCCUAGGCCAAUUGACUUUGCCAAAUGACCUUCAGUCUACACUUGUCUGAUUGGUUCUCCAAGAUUAAUUUCAGAUUAUGCACUUUGGGCAGGAAACUCCCUGGACGAUGUUGUGUUCUUAGUGUGUCACAUCACGGGGGCCACGAAGCCCAUGUGCCCAGCCGUUCGGGAAUCUCUUUCAAGAUGCAAAGAUCUUCAAUCAUUUUUGUGAGGUUAAGUGAGAAGAAUUCUUGACUGAGGCUAUGUUGGUGGUUAUAUUUUUUUUCUGUGGAAAGAGAGAAAACACAAGUUUAUCUGAUUUCCCAGGAAGCUAUGCCAUUUUGUUCUAAGUUGUUUGUCAACCUUGUCCAGUCCCCACAGAGCAGUGGGCUGUGGCCAUAUUAGAGGGCGACUUUCCUAUAUGAAUCAGUAUUUUCUUGUUUGGUCUAAGCAGAAAUCAUUAUCAAUUCAUUCUUCAUUAUUUCACCUCAAACUUUUUUUUGUUGGGGUAGCAAGCCAGGCUUGGUGUAAAACAAAAGAGAAAUAUGUUUGUUAUUAAUCACAACUGACUUCAGUGAUUUAAAAAUAAUAAAUACAUUAACUGUGUGUCACUUUUUUUUUCAAAUGCAAAGAAUCUAAAUAUACCUAGAGAGGUUAAAAAGAGCUCAGUCAAAUGAAGAAGAAAACCAACAGGCUAGAAAUGUCCUCUUUUUUUUUUUUUUUUUAACAACUGAAGAGUUUUGGACAUAAUCUUUUCAAUAGCUCCUGGUGGAGUUAUGUAUGAAAGAAAGCUAAAACUGGUAAAUUUGCAUCUAGAAAUGAAUAAGACAGCAUGAGAAAGAGCCAACUGACACCUUUAAGGUGCCACAUCAGAGAUGUCUCCACACACAACAGCUUUCAGACUGACUGCUUCUCACAUCUUUACUAAUAAACACAAGAUCUCAUCGCCAAUGCUUAUGGCAAGGAUUUCACAACGACUGGGGGUGUCAUGCCUCAUUUGUGAGCCAGAUGUGUCUAAACUGAAAUCUGAAGAUUCUCAUUUGGUAAAUUCUAAACAGGAUGAUGAAAGUUAGAUGAGAAAUAACCCCUUGGAAGAAUAAGCAUGAAAGGGCUUGUUUACACAUUUCUGGAGCUCAAAUUUGGGAUGGUUGUUAUUUUACAAAGGUCGGGAUUUUCCUUUAUUUACCUGGUGUCUAACUUCGUUCCGAAAUUGUAGUUGUUUUGUACAUAAGUGAUGAACAGAAAGUACUAUUUUGGAAUAAAGAUUUUAUUUGUCAGGGAUAUGAAAACCAAAUAAUAAUUUAAAGGGAUGUUUUGGUUACUCACAAAGCCUGAAAGAUUAACUGUUCUCACACGUGUGUGUGUGUGUGUGUGUGUGUGUGUGUGUGUGUGUGUGUAUGUGAGUAAACAAUAUGUGGUGGUGCUAUCUGGCACAACAAUAUUGAAAAAUUUCCUAUACAUGUAUUAGUCAGGGCAAGUAACAUCAGCUGCUGUAACAAACACCCCCUCCCCAAGCUCAAUGACUUAACAAUUAAAGUGAUUACUUGUUUGAACCAAAACACUUUGGUAUUAAAGAGCAGCCUUCCUUUGAGUAAGGGGGCCAGCCAGAGUCCUUCUAUUUAGGGGCUAUGCAUUUUCUAGAACCUUUAUCUAGCUGACAAGGGAAGAGAAAAAUACGUAUAUAUGGAACAUUGCUCAGGAAGCCAUUGGCCAGAGGUCAGUCAUACGGCCCUGGUAAUUACAUACUACAUUAAUAUGUAAAAAUUAAUUGAGCCGUACACUUCAGGUUUGUGCACUUCCUAAGUGACCUCAAUAAGCAAAAAUAAGAAAAAAUACC
ensembl:lncRNA